UGAUGCUGUGUGCUGCCUUCGCCAGGGAUGCGGCAGCGCUACUCUGUGAGCGUAGCUGUGCAGAAGAUGCAGCUGCAAAGGCGUGUUCACAAGUAUGAACACAUAUUCUGAACCUGGAGGAAUCGCAAACACACGGCCUGCAGAGCUCUCAAGUGUGGCCCCUGUAGGCCUGCUGAGAGCAUGGCUCGGCACAGCUUGAAAUCUGCCCUUGAAAAACAGGAAGAGUUUUUCCAGAAAACAACUCUUGACAAGCGAUGACAGUGAGAGCAACUUUUGCUAUUUCGCAGGUCAUAAUUAAAUCUUCCAAACUGUGUGCAGAGGGCAUCUUCAUAGACGAGUGCCUGCUAGAAGUAGCAGAUGCUGUUUGCCAAAGCAGGAAGAGAUCGUUUGAGAAGAUCAGUGUUUUUCAAAAAUUGUUGUUCAAUUAAUUUAAAAACGGUGUUGUAAGACAAAAAUAACAGAUUAUAGAAUCGGUACUCCUAGCUGACACCGCACUUCUGUAAAAUAGCAGGUAAAAUAACCUUUUUUUCUUUCAGGAGCCUUCUGAUAAUUUACACUCAGUGCAUCUUUUUGCUUUGGUGUAGCUUGGCAGGCUUGUGUGAUUGAUCUUAUGGGUCAUUUCUUGCGUGUUCUUGUCUCACAAUACAGACUGCCAUUUGUGUGCUCAAUAUCGUUUUGUCUGUGCUUUGUGCAUUCUUGCUGGCUACUGUUUUUGCAAAAAACCACGAGCAGGAGGUCAUGAAUUCGAUUCAUGACUGCAGUGGCUGCAUUUUGUAUGGGAGUGAAGUGCAAAGAGGCUCAUGCACAGUCGACAGCAAGAGUUUGUGGACCACACAAGCCCACGCCAAACUACCUCUCUGCACCACCUAGCGAUGCAACACCUGCAGCAGCGUUGGGCUGGAAAUGAGUCCUAUGAGUCCUCUUGUUUUUUGUCGGUGCGUCAAUAUCCUUGUACGACAUGGUGCUGUUCUACUUUCUCAACCUCGUCCACAGCCCAGUGAUACGCACUGAUAUCAGCCCAGCGGCGUGCAACUUAAAUUGGUUCCAAUAAUACUGCUGCAAAGACAGGAGCGCGUCACCAUGGCUGCGGAAGAAUGCAUUGUAUGAGAAAGAGAGAAACGGAAAAAAACCUGGUGCCAAGCAAGAACAUUGACACACCAUCAGACAGCAGAAGGGACACAGUUAAAGCCUAGCUCAGUGCCAGCUGACGCACCGGAAGCAUUGCGGAGAGGUCGUUUGGCACACGCCUGCGUGGUCUGUAAACUUUUGCAUUCAACUGUACUUUAACUUUGGUAGCUGGUACAUGUUUUUAACCAGCUGGCAGAAACUUAUUGGUAGCCCCCCGACUAGGUCUCUCAUAGUGUGUGUGUCCUUCUGACGUUAACACCCCACGAUUUUGUUUUUUCGGAAAAAGCAGCUCAUGAACUUGUUGAGCAGGGUAUUCGCAGGGUAUUCUUUCUUUUUUUUCAUUGGCCCUCCCCUUGUGUGACGAGGUGACAAAGAUUUUGGAUAUUCAUGAAGCAGUGCUAGAGCUAAAACAGGUCUUGCUGUCUUGCUAAUUGUCGUGCUUUCCAUUGCAGAACAAGUUGCUGCGGUCUUCCCAAGAGGCCUGCAGCAUUGCAUUGGAAGAAUUGACGACUUGGCCAAUGAUGAAAAAAUCUUUUACAUGCUUUUGUUUGCUCAUUAUGGUUUUGUCUAUGCUCUGUACACCCUUUGUGGUUACAGCUUGUGCAAAAGGCUCGAACGUGGUUGGGUAAACAAGAGAGUGCUGCAUUUAUUUGCUUUUCAAUCUACUUUUUUUAUUUUUUCAAGUCAGUUCUUUUGUGUCUAAACUGUUUGUGGCUUGCCAUUUCUUUUUUUUUUUUUGCACUGUGUAAAUGUUUCUUACGUUGUUCCCAUCUUGUUUUGUUAGAUCAGGAGCUGCUUAAAUCCCAAGAGACAUGGUAAUUUUCUGAAUUCAGCGAAUGUUAAAAUAUAGAGCCACAGCCAACUGCAAUGAAAUUCCUCUUCAGAUGCAUUGGUUAUAAAUGACUAGUACGUCCUAUCAUGGUGCAGCUGAUUGAGGGUUGGUAACUGUCUAAUUUCUUUUAUUAAUAGCCCCUUUUGUAGUGUCUGAGAAGAUUACGCAGGCUUCGGUGGCUAGAUCCCAGAACACGGAUUCCCAUAUCUUCCUCGUGCCGAUUGCUCCACUUGAUCUCGAGGUGUUACCCAGACACUGCGUUGUUGUCUCUCGGCCUUCCGGGUUCUGCAUCAUAUUUGACAAGUAUAAUGUUGUUCUGUUUCUUAUUUUAUUUUUUCCCUUGCCCUUUAUCAAAAGUAUCUCUUUUUGCAAUCUUUUUUAUGAAGCAUCUACUUAUAUUUCUAAAGGAAAAUUUUUACAAAGGCUGCUUUGUGUCUACACUCUGUGAGACUAGGCUUUUUAUGUGGUCCCAAAUUUCGUUGGAGUUUGCCUUUAAUGAGUGCCGUUUAAUGGUGUGAUGCGCUGCAAUAAAAUUGACAGUGCUAACUUAUGUGCUAUGCAAGACAAAUACUUAAAACAAACAAAGUGGGCAUGAAAAUAUUGCUGCUUGGUGUUAAAGGGGGCACUAGGCAAUGACAUAACAGAGGCCUUUCAUGAAAAUAUUGUCAAUAUUGGCGAUGUCGUAGCUUUUGUAAUGUCGCAUGCAACCAUUUGGGACUCUGUUGAAGCAACAGUAAGCAAGCUCUGGGAUACCUUGUAAGCUUUUUGCAUGGCAUUACCCCCCUUCUACUGCUUCCGGUUUUGUUACUGUGUAAAAUGUCUAGAGCAGUGGCAUCACACGCACGGCACGUUCGGUUCUUGAACGUGCCGAGACUAGCUUGAAAAUGUAUUGUACAGGUUAUAUGUGAAUUUUGCCUUUAGGUGUGGCUUCAGAGCAGCGCGACUUUCACUUUAUAGUGUGCCUUUAUCGCAUUCUGCCAUAUGCUGCCGUUAUUUCCCCACCUAAAGCAAAAUUAGCACAUAGCCCAGGCUCUGCUUUUAAGGUGGGGGAGGAGGUGACUUCGAGGCUUAGGAUUCUGGGUGAAAAACCUUGCCUUAUAAUCAAAUAAAUAUGGUAAUGUUUGUUUUAUCUCAAGCCAUAUGAACCUGUCAAAUGCAUGGUGCUUAACUUCAAUUAUCUGCAGCGAAUUGAGUGGAAAAAUGUGUUGUUCUUUUUUGAGAUUUUGUAAGGUUUAACAUUUUCAUGUGGGCUGCUUGGCACAUUUUGUAUGUCGAUGUUUAACAGCACUAGAAAGACAAGCACAUAAAUAAAAUGUGUGAUGUACACAGACGCCACUGUGCUACUGAUAAUUUGUUGUGUUAUUGGUUUACACAGAUAUCUGUCUAGCUCUUAAUGGAUAGUAAAUUAAUUAUAAUAAGGUGAGGUUCUAAAAUAAAAUUUCAAGGUUUGGAAUGGAUCUGUUGUACUGAGCAUAGUAGUGCGACAUGUCAACAAACUAAAGACGAAGAACAGCUAGUCAUUGCUCAGUAAAAUUCCUGCACCAGCUCCCUGUAAUUUUGCCGGUUGUAGCAGCAUAUGGUCAAUCAUAAGUAAUUGUGCGAUAAUGUGAAUAAAUUAGAUAUCAGUAAACAAAAUUUGCAAUGCACUACAUUCGUUAGCAAGCCAACUCGGCUCUUUGUUUGGUGGUUGACAACAAAUUGGAAGUCGCAUAGCUUGAGGUGUAGAUAAGAUAUCUGGAGAAGUGUAACUGGUUGUAAACUCCUGUCAUCUUCCAAACUCUUGUCACUUUCUUCCCUUUUUAUCUACAUAAAGCUGCAUUGCUCCUGGUCUAUCAUCUACUGUUCAGCAAACAGCCAAAUUGGUGUCAGUGCACUGGGUGAACUAAAACAGAUUUUUGUAAGAGACAUUGUCGUGUUUUUAACGAAUUGAACUUAAGAGGCAUUCAGUCAGUCAUUCAAGCAUUGCAGUCAGUAAUUAAUUUUGUCAGUGUUUAUACAAGGAAAUAGCCAGAAUAAGGGAUCUCCCUAGCAGUAGUGAAAGAAGGCGCUAGUAGUUUAUUGUAAAGCAGUAAGAAGGGCAAUGUUGGUGGCAGUGAGCUUGAUAUGGAUUACAGAGAGAAGCAGGUAGUGUGAUCUAGGGACCAUGUGACAUCUGGGGAGGGUACAGUGGUGAUGCUUGCACGUGCAAGUUACAAUGGCAAGUUGAAUAUUACCAUUCAAGAGCCUUAAUGAUGGUAGAAAAGCACUUGGUAUGCUUUUGCACAUGAGGGCUUUGUGCCCCUCAACUUGGGACAACUGCCACCACAGCUCAAUUAAUAUAGCAUUGUAUGCAUUGAUGCUUGAAGUUUAUUGAAAGUGAGAUGUAAUAUAAACACUGCUUGCUUUGGUUCAGUUCCAGGUCAUUCUUAUGAGGAUGAAUAUAUUGUUCUGGGUAUGCGUUAAUAGAAAAAAAUACUUGCGCACUUUGCCCUGAGUUUUUGAACAAAGCUUCAUUUAGUGUGCGUAUGGCUUUUGCUCCAUGUCGUCUGCUACAGCUGUCAAACAGAAGUACCUCGAGCAUCCUUUGCUAGGGGCGCCUCACUGUAUUGGUGCUCACUGCCUGUAGAGGAUGUUGUGUUUCAUUAGUGCUGCUGACCAGUAAACAUGGUUGAGAAGUGCACUUGAACAUUGUCAUAUCUGAUAUUCAUCAUAAGCAUAUAUUUGUUGCAUGCUGAUAUUAACAACACACAUUUUUAUGUUUACUUAAGUAUGCUUGAUAAUUUGUUAUGUCCAUGUUUGUUAUACUAAGGUUUGGUUUUAUUUGUAAUGAAACAUGCUUGCUAAUUGCUAGUAGGACUGCAAUUGGGGCCAGCUGGUUAUACAUUGCGUUGGAUGAAUGCACUGUUUUCUUUAAGAGUGCAAACUGUGUGAACGCCACAGAGAGCUCAAACACUUUGUGGUUUGUGGUCUGUUCCAGUUUAAAGUUGUUAAUAUGCAAAACAACAUGUCUAUCCAUUCCUAUGCAUUGAUAUUGUUGUAAUAAGGGUCAGUAGUACUUAGCUCUUUAUUCAAGGUCUGUAGUGUUUUUUUUUUUAACCUUUUGUCAGUCUUGGCACAACACAUUGACAGUGUUCCUUUCCUCUCUCUCCCCACAUGCCUCAACAAAGCCGACUGGCACAGCAACCACCUCGAAGCAUGGGCUGCCACAGGCGUGGCUGCAAGCCAACCUGUAGACAGUGGCAGGCCCUCGGAAGCUGACAGGACCGACGCCUUGAUGUGCAGCCAUUGUGGCUUCAUGAGCUACAGCGAAGCUGGCCUUGUGGAGCAUCAGCGAGUCCUCCACACAGGGCCUCUCCUUGACCCAGUGGCAGGUUACCGGUGCCAGUUUUGCCCAUGCUCGUUCUCGCACCGCGACCGCCUGCUGUGCCACCUGGAGAAGCACACCGGCUUGGGUUUCCUGCGCUGCUUUGUGUGUGGAAAGAAAUUCUCGAGUAUGAACCACCUGGUGCGCCACGUCAAGACGACGCACAGCAGAGUCGAGCGCUUCCCCUGCCACCUGUGCCCGAGCAAGUUCUCGCGCAAGGAUACCCUUGUUGCGCACAUUCGGAAGCACCAGAUCGACAUUGCCAAGCAUUGAUAUGGUGGACUAGAGCCAUGUUUCACGAAAAUGCAUCAGCUGAGCAUGGUGAGCAGUGCAAAUGACAGGACAAAAUGGUGAGCCGAAUCCCACAGCAACUUCGAAGCCUGGGCUGCCACAGGUGCUACCGCAAGCCAAGCCACAGACAGUGGCAGGGCCUUGGAAGGUGACAGGGUCGAUGUCUUGAAGUGCAGCCAUUGUGACUUCAUGGGUUAUAGUGAAGCUGUCCUUGUGGAGCACCAGCUGGUAGUCCAUACAGUCCCUCUCCCUGAUCCGGUGGCAGGUUACCGGUGCCAGUUCUGCCCGUCCAAGUUUUCCCAACAUGACCGCCUUCUGUGCCACCUGGAAAGGCACAGCGGCUCGGGCUCCUUUCGCUGCUUCGUGUGCGCGAAGAAGUUCUCGAGCGAGAGGCACCUCGUGCGCCACGUCAAGACAACGCAUAGCAGAGUCGAGAGCUUCCCCUGCCACCUGUGCCCAAGCAAGUUUUCCCGCAAGGACAGCCUUGUUGCGCACAUUCGGAAGCACCAGAUCGACAUUGCCAAGUGUUGACACGGUGAAGCAUGGCCACAUUUCCCGAAAUUGCGACUGUGGUGAACAGCACAAACGACAGGACAAGUGGUGAGGUAAACAAUGAGACUAAUGCACCCUUAUCUUAUCCCCUGCCCUGUUGUCUGUACUGUUCUCUAUGUCAAACACAAGUGCACUGUCCCAGCUUUCGAACUGUCAUAUCCUUAACAUUGUCACUGGGUUUGUUCAAAUAACAUAGUUUCUUAAUCUAAUCAAAUAUGAAUGUUGGGAAAAGGUGAGUUUGAAUAUCAGAUUGAAUGGUCAAUAUUUGCUUGCAAGAAAGGAAGAGCUCAAUUUUACCGGAUAAGACAUGUUAAUGUUCACCAAGAAAAGCUAUUGUUUGUGUAAACUGACAUAAUAAAUAUGCCUGUUGUCUAAGAAUGAAACAUCCGUGGUGAAGUACGAAUUUUAUACCUCUGCCACAUCGACAGUUUCCAAGUCCUUUAAAGGGACACUACAGAGAAAAAUGAUUUCCUUUGUAUCAGUAAAUUACCUUUCUACAACAUCAAAAACGCCACUCUUACCACGAUAAGAGGCUUAGCAAGCCAGAAAAAGCGCAACAACCAAAGACGGGUGUCGACACCUCCUUGAACUUCCAACACCAGCUUGCUAUGAUGUCAUGGGCUUUGACACCGUCUGUUAGGGCCUGGUUCAUUCUUUAGCAGUAAAGCUAUAGUCAUUGUGUUCUAAAGGAGCCAAAAAUUGAACGAGUUUCAAGAACAUUUUGCUAAGCCAAUGGUGCCUAAAUACGAAAAAAAAUAUACAUGGAAAUCUGUGACGUCACCGUGACGUACGGCAUUGGGGAUUCGUUGCAAAAUUCAAGAACCGAAACUUUCUCUUCUCUUAAUCAACCUGUUAUUUUGAAAUUAAUGACAACAUUGUUCUCAAAGAACACUUUAUACAUCUAAACUGAUUUAGUGUGUUGCUUUAGCGUCCCUUUAAACCAAAUGGUAUCUUUGACUGCAUUUUUUGCAGUACUCUGGGAGUCUUACAAAUUCAUGUAAGACAGCUCUGUAGUUAUA